CACGUGGGUAACCUACCUAUAAGACUGGGAUAACUUCGGGAAACCGGAGCUAAUACCGGAUAAUAUUUCGAACCGCAUGGUUCGAUAGUGAAAGAUGGCUCUGCUAUCACUUAUAGAUGGACCUGCGCCGUAUUAGCUAGUUGGUAAGGUAACGGCUUACCAAGGCAACGAUACGUAGCCGACCUGAGAGGGUGAUCGGCCACACUGGAACUGAGACACGGUCCGGACUCCUACGGGAGGCAGCAGUAGGGAAUCUUCCGCAAUGGGCGAAAGCCUGACGGAGCAACGCCGCGUGAGUGAUGAAGGUCUUCGGAUCGUAAAACUCUGUUAUUAGGGAAGAACAAACGUGUAAGUAACUGUGCACGUCUUGACGGUACCUAAUCA
rnacentral:rRNA from 1 species